UGUAUGUUGGUUUAAUGUUGGGAAAUGUGUAGCAGAGCCAGCUAUGGUUAUUAUAAUGCAGUAUAUUAGACAAUAUAGAACCAUAUUAAGUAAAUUUGUCAAAGCAGAAGCUACAUGGGAGUUCUUCACACAGUGCAAGAUGAACGGCGUUUUCCCGAGAUUGAUCAUAAAUAUUAAACUUCCAGUUAAAUCUUAUAAGUAUUACAAAAUACUAGGAAGAUUUGUCGUAGAAUAGCAAUAUCCAAUGCUGGAAGAAGAAUGUUUAAUUUAAAAGAAGCUAAAAGCUCAAGAUUGCAUGAGAUACAACAACUGGGUCUCCAUAAUAUUGCAGCUAUAUUAGAAGCGUGUGACAUAGACAUAAUGAUCCUCAAAGGAAAGACUAAGUUAGACCAUAUUAAGAAGUUAAGAUGGCUUUUUCAGAAGCAGCUUAAAAGAACGUCUAACCACCCAACUGGAUAAUGUAGCAGUUGUUGUAGGUGACCUCCACUUACCAGAUUUUGUACAAGAGACACUACUGAAAGGCCCCUCCUAUGCAUUUAGAAGUAUUACGAAGUUUGAAGAUCUUAUACCACCUUUCAAGAGAAUACUAGCAGGUAUGCAAGAACUUGAUAAAGAAAGAUACAGGUGGAAAUUUGUUGAAGAAAACACAAAGCCCAAUAAGAAGAACCGAGAGAGAAAUAGUGAUAUAGCAAGGAAUAAGCAGAUGAUAAAGAAGACAGACAAGUGGAUGCAAGAUAAUGGGAUUACCCUAACUAAGGACGAUAAAUCCAAAAAAGUAGUCAUAGUCAAAAAAGAGUUGUAUAAUAAUAAUAAAUCGUAAGUUUCAUUUUGAAUCACUUUAUUACAUUACAAACAAUAGUGCUCAAUUUUUAUUUGCAUACCCCGUUGCAUUGGAUACCACACAAUGGAAUCCCUCGAUAAGCAAAUCGCAUUGCACAGUACUGUCAUGACUAACUGGUCUUGAAUUGAGUAUUGCCUGAUAGCUGAC
rnacentral:lncRNA from 1 species